rnacentral:snRNA from 1 species
ACUGUUAUUUCUGAGUUUUUUCUAUGCUAAUAAAUCUGUUCUUUUCAGCUUAAUAUCUGAAACGCGACUCACCGAGUCGCUUGUAUAUUAAACUGAUUUUUGAACUUAGGCCAUGGAAUAGGGGCUUGCUCCGUCCUGGCCACGGGUUGGCCCGGUAUUGCAGUACCUCCGGGAUCGGCCCACCCCUC